CCCGAUCCUACAGACCCCAACACACCAGAACAUAAAACAAAAGGUCCUUCUAAUAAGGAAUAAGAACGUUGGAAACAGACAAUCCGUUCCUGAACAAAGGAUCCGUAAGGGUGAUGGCUACUCGAUAGCACAUACGGCUGAAAUCAACCAUGAUAAAAGGCCGUGCGCUUCUCUAAACCUCUCUGUGAAAGCUGCUACCCCUAAAAACGUUCACCAUCGUAAGCCUAAGAAGCAAUUUAUUGAGCCUGAGCCAUACCAGAAAGGCUUCCCGCCCAAAAGACGCAACCAUUCCUUUGUUCCGGUCUCAUCUUACCAGGCCACUGUAUCUUAUGAUCCUAACACAGUUGCAGAGCAACUAAAGGCUACGGAAGACUUAGUUUCAUUGUAUUUGACGCCUGAGGACGAUUUCACACAGCCACCCCUGUGGAGCAGAAACGGAUGUCUACACAAGCCUAAGAAGGGAUCUAAGAAGAGAUCUAUUGAGCCAUACACGGACGGUUUCCCACCCAAAAGACGCCGCCCUUCCUUUGUUCCAGACUCCUCUUACACGGCCUCUGUAUCUUAUGAUCCUAACACAGCU